AAUAGAUUGCGGGGGGACUCUACGGAGUUGAGAAGGUUAAAACCUGACCCUUUGAACCUGUCAGUUAACACUGGCGCAGGGAAGCAAAUGCAGAACGAAU
rnacentral:ncRNA from 2 species